AUGAACGGACUGAGCCCCGGCCCGGCCGGCAUCGCCAUGAAGGACCACGAUGCCAUCAAGCUGUUCGUGGGGCAGAUCCCCCGCAACCUGGAGGAGGGGGACCUCAAGCCCCUCUUCGAGGAGUUCGGCAAGAUCUACGAGCUCACGGUGCUAAAGGACAGGUUCACCGGCAUGCACAAAGGCUGUGCCUUCCUCACAUACUGUGCCCGGGACUCUGCUCUGAAAGCCCAGAGCGCGCUGCAUGAGCAGAAGACGUUACCUGGGAUGAAUCGCCCCAUCCAGGUGAAGCCGGCGGACAGCGAGGGCCGAGGAGAAGACAGGAAGCUCUUUGUGGGGAUGUUGGGGAAGCAGCAGAGCGAAGAUGAUGUCAGGCGGCUGUUUGAACCCUUUGGCCAGAUCGAAGAGUGCACCAUCCUCAGAGGGCCUGACGGAGCCAGCAAAGGGUGUGCCUUUGUAAAAUACGGGAGCCAUGGGGAGGCCCAGGCAGCCAUCAACAGCCUACACGGCAGCCAGACCAUGCCGGGAGCCUCCUCCAGCCUGGUGGUGAAAUUUGCAGACACGGACAAGGAAAGGACUUUAAGGCGGAUGCAUCAGAUGGCAGGACAACUGGGCAUCUUCAGCCCGAUGACCAUCCAGUUUGGAGCCUAUGGGGCAUAUACGCAAGCGAUAAUGCAGCAGCAGGCAGCCCUGAUGGCUGCAGCACAAGGGACCUGCCUGAAUCCAAUGGCAGCCAUUGCCGCAGCCCAAAUGCAGCAGAUGGCAGCCUUUAACGUCAGCGGACUAGUUGCUGCUCCUAUGACCCCCUCAUCAGGUACAAGCACACCUCCAGGGAUCAGCACAGCGCCCGUCCCCAGCAUAGCCACGCCCAUUGGGGUGAAUGGGUUCAGCCCCCUCCCACCACAGACCAAUGGGCAGCCAGCAUCCGAGACCAUUUACACCAAUGGAAUCCAUCCGUACCCAGCUCAAAGUCCCACUGUGGCAGAUCCCCUCCAACAAGCCUACGCAGGCAUGCAGCACUAUGCAGCAGCAUACCCAGCAGCCUAUGCACCGAUCAGCCAGGCCUUUCCCCAGCAAGCGCCCAUCAUUCCACAGCAGCAGAGAGAAGGUCCCGAAGGAUGUAACCUGUUUAUUUAUCACCUGCCCCAGGAGUUCGGAGAUGCGGAGCUCAUGCAGAUGUUUUUGCCUUUUGGCAAUGUCAUCUCUGCCAAAGUCUUUGUUGAUCGUGCCACGAACCAAAGUAAAUGCUUUGGUUUCGUCAGUUUUGACAAUCCAACUAGUGCUCAGGCAGCCAUUCAGGCCAUGAACGGCUUCCAGAUCGGCAUGAAGAGGCUAAAGGUCCAACUAAAGCGGCCAAAAGAUGCCAACAGACCCUACUGACCCCUGCUCACCCUGGCCCUGCAAACAGACCAGGCCAAUCAUUGCUCCAAGAUGGCCCCCCAGUUGCCUAGCAACCCUCUAGCUGUUGUGGGAGACCCAAACCAAAACUAUCUCUCCCAAAUAAACCGAAACUGUUGGAUGCCCUGCAGCGUAUGAAGAGUACUCUCCUUUUUCCCAAGUGCAGUAUCCAAACUUGUAACUCUCUUUCUUUGCAACAUAUCAUGGAAGAGGCAGAAGCGAAGGAGGAGAAGAAAUGCUGGCAAGAAAGAGAGCCAUUGUGGUUGUAUCUUCUUUUUAUUUUUUAAUUUUCGAAUCGGUUUUGUUUGUUUCUUAACAAGAAAGAAAAAGACACAGUGAUGUUGGAGAAAAGACAAACAGGCGCAGAUAUUUGCUGAAUCAGACUAUGAAACGGUGGCUGCUGAAGAAGACUUUGAAUUCCUCGCAAGGAGAGAGGUGGGAUUCUUGGAAGGAAAAACAAACCAAUCUACAAUUGAGAGCUAGGACAGCUCAUUCGUGAGGAUGAACCCUAUCUUUUUAAAGCACUCAUUUGCUGCUACAAGUUUCAAAGGAGGAACUAGGAAAGAGGAUCCAAAUGGAUAUAAACCAAAGCCAGUGGGAUUGGACCAGGCAUGUAUAUUUCACCUGGAUAACAUUUUGUUUUAAAAGGGAAAGAGAAAUUGAUUUUUUCCAUAUCUGGCUGGAAAAAAAGAAAUCAAAGGCUAAGCGCAUGUUGGACUUAUA